rnacentral:lncRNA from 1 species
GACAAUCGUUCCACCACCCUUAGAAUUCCUUAGAUGCAAAGAGAAAUACAUAUCACCCAACAAAGUAGGCAUAGGAUUCCUAAUCAAGAAAAGUAUAAUGGCGUUAACAUCAACAAAACCGUCAAUGUUAGGGAACAAAGCUAAUCCAUAAAUGAACAACACAAAGAUAGCUUCAAAAGCGUCCACACUGUAGCGGGGUAUUCAUUACCUUUAG